GCCUCCCUUAGACAACAAGGACACAGUCCGUCCUCACUGCUGGACGUAGGUGGUAAAGUCCCAGGAGCAACAGCUCCAGGAAAUCACAGAGGGUGGGGAGGGGCAUUUCCCAAAAAGGUCAUGUAGUGCAAACCAAAAGUAUACAUCUGCCACAAAUAAAUACUGCAAUCUACUUCCUCAUCAACUGACUCAAGGAGGGCUGCAUAGGCCAGGCUGAACCUCCAUGAAGGCAUCCUUCCUCUACCCGGGUUUCCAUACAUUCCUGCAGAAGAGCAGCCCAGUGCCCAAAGUCCUGCGGUUUUCUACAAGCCUGUUUGAGAGACAAACAUAAUCAUCACUGACUGUAGAAGACAGUAAUGAAAUACAG